GUGGUUGAGUACUAUGACUCCAAGGGAAAGGUUCGGAAGAUUGAUGCUGCUAAAUCAGUUGAAGAGGUUUUUGAGGCUGUUAAAGCAAUUUUUACCCAAAAAUAUGAGAAGGCUGCUGCUGUCUAGGUGUUCCAACUGUGCCAGAGAUAUUGAAUCAAAUAUGUAUCAAGAUGAUGGAUUUUGUUGAUUGCUUGCCAUCAUGCUUAUCAUAGCUGGUGAUAGUUGAUAUUAUGAGAGGUAU
rnacentral:misc_RNA from 1 species